rnacentral:rRNA from 1 species
AUGCUUUACACAUGCAAGUCGAACGGCAGCACAGCAGAGGUAACUCUGUGGGUGGCGAGUGGCGAACGGGUGAGUAAUACAUCGGAACGUACCCUGUUGUGGGGGAUAACUACGCGAAAGCGUAGCUAAUACCGCAUACGCCCUGAGGGGGAAAGCGGGGGACCCUAAAUAGAGCGCACUGGGGAGUGCGUUGUAUUUAGGGCCUCGCGCAAUAGGAGCGGCCGAUGUCGGAUUAGCUAGUUGGUGAGGUAAAGGCUUACCAAGGCGACGAUCCGUAGCUGGUCUGAGAGGAUGAUCAGCCACACUGGGACUGAGACACGGCCCAGACUCCUACGGGAGGCAGCAGUGGGGAAUUUUGGACGAUGGGGGCAACCCUGAUCCAGCCAUGCCGCGUGAGUGAAGAAGGCCUUCGGGUUGUAAAGCUCUUUCGGACGGAAAGAAAUCGCGCAGGUAAAUAAUCUGCGUGGAUGACGGUACCGUAAGAAGAAGCACCAGCGAACUACGUGCCAGCAGCCGCGGUAAUA